rnacentral:rRNA from 1 species
UACGUAGGUCCCGAGCGUUAUCCGGAUUUAUUGGGUUUAAAGGGUGCGCAGGCGGCACGGCAAGCCGGCGGUCAAAUCGCGGGGCUCAACCCCGCCCAGCCGUCGGAGCUGCCGGGCUAGAGUGGGCGAGAAGUGCGCGGAAUGCGUGGUGUAGCGGUGAAAUGCAUAGAUAUCACGCAGAACUCCGAUUGCGAAGGCAGCGCACCGGCGCCCUACUGACGCUAAGGCACGAAAGCGUGGGUAUCGAACAGG